rnacentral:rRNA from 1 species
AGGGUUUGAUUAUGGCUCAGAACGAACGCUGGCGGCAGGCCUUAUACAUGCAAGUCGAGCGCAUCCUUCGGGAUGAGCGGCGGACGGGUGAGUAACGCGUGGGAAUGUGCCCUUCUCUACGGAAUAGCCACUGGAAACGGUGAGUAAUACCGUAUACGCCCUCAGGGGGAAAGAUUUAUCGGAGAAGGAUCAGCCCGCGUUAGAUUAGGUAGUUGGUGGGGUAACGGCCUACCAAGCCUACGAUCUAUAGCUGGUUUUAGAGGAUGAUCAGCCACACUGGGACUGAGACACGGCCCAGACUCCUACGGGAGGCAGCAGUAGGGAAUCUUGGACAAUGGGGGCAACCCUGAUCCAGCCAUGCCGCGUGAGUGAAGAAGGCCCUAGGGUCGUAAAGCUCUUUCGCCUGUGAUGAUAAUGACAGUAGCAGGUAAAGAAACCCCGGCUAACUCCGUGCCAGCCGCCGCGGUAAUA